rnacentral:ribozyme from 1 species
CUCUUUCCUCCCUCCCUCCCUCUCUCUCUCCCCCCCCCCUCCUUGCCCCUUCCUCUUCUCUCUUAUUGCUUUGCAUGUUGCUCCUCGUUUAUUCAGUCUUUCGCCACCUUAUUUCCCCAUCUGUCUCUCUA